CAAAUACUCCCUCCGUCCGGAAAUACUUGUCAUCAAAAUGGAUAAAAGGAAAUGUAUCUAGACGUAUUUUAGUUUUAGAUACAUCUCUUUUUAUCCAUUUUGAUGACAAGUAUUUUCGGAUGGAGGGAGUAGAAA
rfam:Triticum aestivum genome assembly, contig: Triticum_aestivum_CS42_TGACv1_scaffold_079074_1DL